UACGUAGGGGGCAAGCGUUGUCCGGAUUUAUUGGGCGUAAAGAGCGUGUAGGCGGCCAGGUAGGUCCGUUGUGAAAACUCGAGGCUCAACCUCGAGACGCCGAUGGAAACCAUCUGGCUAGAGUCCGGAAGAGGAGAGUGGAAUUCCUGGUGUAGCGGUGAAGUGCGCAGAUAUCAGGAAGAACACCAAUGGCGAAGGCAGCUCACUGGGACGGUAUUGACGCUGAGACGCGAAAGCGUGGGGAGCAAACAGG
rnacentral:rRNA from 1 species